AUUGUCCCCAGAGGCAUUGCAGGCAUGGCUGCCAUGUCACAUGUGUGUCAGUAGGUGGCAGAGAAAGGAGAGGGAAUGUCUAUACUCAGUGUUCUGACCUAUGAACAUCAGAAUGAUUAGUAGCCUAACAUU